UCUCUCUCUCACGGGGUGCGCAGGGGGAAGGUGGGCGGCGGCGCCACGCGAGCGGCUGUGGCGGGCGCGGCUGGGUGGCGAGCGGCGGCGGCGACACCACCUCCUCGCCGCAGCCGCUCCUCCCCUUCCUUUCCCCUUCUUCCUCCAGGUCCGGCGGUGACGGCGCGGAGGAGCCGCCGCGGGGGCGUUGUCCUUCGUCACGGCCAGUGUUCGCGCACAACGCGCGCGUGGUGGCCGCGGCGGCGUUCAUGCUCGACCUCGGGGGCCUCCUGGUGUUCGCCGUGCUGCAUUGGCCUUGCCUGUGCGUGCUAUUGGGGGAUUGAUUGGUUUUGGUUUGGAACGAUUCGGGCGCCAUGAUCCGGAGGAGGAUUCAGUGAACUUCCGUCGCGGUUGCUCUCCGACCGAAUUUUCACGGCCGUAUUUUUCUUUCGGUGGAUGGUUUUUGUGUCAUGGGGAGUUGCAGCGAAUGGAUGCGAUGUAGCCACGCGUGAUUCUUGCGAGGUCGAAGGGCAGAGUGAUGGAUCUAGUAAAAGAAGUGAGAGUUUUCCUAUCUGAUUAUCUCGUCCUCCAUGGCAUUCAUGAUCAUGAAGCCUAGCUUUGGCUAUAAUUGAUACGGAGUGUUAGUUUCCAUCUACAUCUGCAUUAUGAUGCCGACGCUUAAAGUUCUUUUCAUUCAUACUUUUGCAAAGCACACCAGUAAUGCAAACAGUCUUAUAGUCUUAUGUGAUGAUACCUUCAGUGCAAAAGUUAUUCUGAAGACUGACAAGCCGGCAGCGAGAGGAGGAAGAAGGGGAGAGGCCGGCAGCUGGCCAAGGCAAGCUCCUCGUCGUCGUCGUCCGUGGCCUCGUCGACGGCGUCGUGGGCCAGCGGCUCCACCGUCAUGGACUGGGUGAGCCCCGAGACACCGUCUCGCGCCGCUGCCCACUGCCCAGCCCCGCGCGCCGCCGUCUACCGCUCCCUCGUCUCGCGCCGCCGCCUCACCUCGCGCCCCAGCCUGCCCCUCCGCGCCGCGAAGGUGAGGUCGGAGCGGUCGCAGACGCGGUCGACGGCUCCUGCCGGUUCCCCCUCCUCGUUUCGCGCCGUCGCCGCCGCACAUCGCCGUGCGCGCCUGCGGCCACGCGAGAGAGAGAUUAGGAAUAUUUGAAUAAGUGAAGAGGAGGUACGACAGAUGGGUCCCACUAUAUUUUUUAAAGAAAAAUGUUGACUGGAUUGCCACGCGGACGCCACGUAGAACAAAACCACUCUAGAUUGAGUCGAGGGGGGUAAUUCGUCCGGUACUAAAAUUUUAGGGUGAUCAAUGUCUGGUUUUCUAGUUAGGGGGUAAUUCGGUCGACCAUGAUAGUUCAGGUGGGUAUUUCGUACUUUUUCCUUUUUUUUUUAACUGCAAAAUGACAUGGAUGGAGAUAGAUGUAGGCAGCAGUGAACUGCACUGAACCCGCUCUUAUGUACAACAUUUACCUGACGUCUUGCAUAUAUAUAACCAGUGCGAAACCUUGAUUCAUCAUUUGGUUUGCUUCUUGACAUCACUCCUUUUGAUACACACGCUGCUCAAGUUGCUAUGAGGUCCAAUCACUAGAGCUCGUGCCAGACAAUUAAAUUUACAGUAACUAUGGGAGAAGACCAUGAAGAUAGACAAGGUCAUUAUGGACGUAAGUCAAGAUGAAGGUCUGACCCAUAUCUAGUUCGAGUCUACUUCGGGCUCCAGUAGCAGCCCACACUAAAUUUGUCGCCCAGGUUGCAUUCAGACUCCGAUUUCUACGUUCUACGUAUGUAUGGAAAGCAGACGAGACCACCUUUCUAAUGGAUCUGGCCCUACGUCAAAAUUCCUUCCAAGUCAUUAGGAAUCUUCGCAACAAGAAAGAUUUCAGAAUCUGUCCAGGUGCUGCGUCACCGUCUUUGGGCCCAUUGGGCCGUGUAUCGUGUUGGAAUCUAAUAGGGAUAUGUCCAUAGGCCUAAGGUCGACCCUAGAAUGCAUAUAUUCAGUAGCCGUCAUUGAUUUAGGGUUGGGUUAUGCUUAGAUUACUUCUGCCAUUGCAGUUUUGCCGUUAGAUCGGUUUGUGGAACCCCAAAUUCGAGUGCUUAAUUAUUCAUAUGCAGUUAAGUUGCUAUCUA